UUUUGGACAAUGGGCGCAAGCCUGAUCCAGCAAUGCCGCGUGCAGGAAGAAGGCCUUCGGGUUGUAAACUGCUUUUGUACGGAACGAAACGGUCCUGGUUAAUACCUGGGGCUAAUGACGGUACCGUAAGAAUAAGCACCGGCUAACUACGUGCCAGCAGCCGCGGUAAUACGUAGGGUGCAAGCGUUAAUCGGAAUUACUGGGCGUAAAGCGUGCGCAGGCGGUUUUGUAAGACAGGCGUGAAAUCCCCGGGCUUAACCUGGGAAUGGCGCUUGUGACUGCAAAGCUGGAGUGCGGCAGAGGGGGAUGGAAUUCCGCGUGUAGCAGUGAAAUGCGUAGAUAUGCGGAGGAACACCGAUGGCGAAGGCAAUCCCCGGGCCUGCACUACGCUCAUGCGGAAG
rnacentral:rRNA from 1 species